ACAGCAGUCGCCACGGGAAUACGUAGGUGGCAAGCGUUGUCCGGAAUUAUUGGGCGUAAAGGGCUCGCAGGCGGUUUCUUAAGUCUGAUGUGAAAGCCCCCGGCUCAACCGGGGAGGGUCAUUGGAAACUGGGAAACUUGAGUGCAGGAGAGGAGAGUGGAAUUCCACGUGUAGCGGUGAAAUGCGUAGAGAUGUGGAGGAACACCAGUGGCGAAGGCGACUCUCUGGUCUGUAACUGACGCUGAGGAGCGAAAGCGUGGGGAGCGAACAGGAUUAGAUACCCCAGUAGUCCCUGUCUCUUAUAC
rnacentral:rRNA from 1 species